GAGUUUGAUUCUGGCUCAGGAUGAACGCUGGCGGCGUGCUUAACACAUGCAAGUCGAGCGGAGUUUACAAUGGAAAGAUCUUCGGAAAUGGAAGCUGUAAACUUAGCGGCGGACGGGUGCGUAACGCGUGGGUAAUCUGCCCCUAUCAUCGGGAUAACACAUCGAAAGAUGUGCUAAUACCGAAUAACAUACUUUUUGGCAUCAAGAGAGUAUCAAAGUGUUAGCGGAUAGGGAUGAGCCUGCGUCUGAUUAGUUAGUUGGUGGGGUAAUGGCCUACCAAGGCGACGAUCAGUAGCCGACCUGAGAGGGUGAUCGGCCACACUGGAACUGCGACACGGUCCAGACUCCUACGGGAGGCAGCAGUGGGGAAUAUUGCACAAUGGGCGAAAGCCUGAUGCAGCAACGCCGCGUGAGCGAUGAAGGUCUUCGGAUCGUAAAGCUCUGUCGCAUGGGAAGAUAAUGACGUACCAU
rnacentral:rRNA from 2 species